UACGGAGGGGGCUAGCGUUGUUCGGAAUUACUGGGCGUAAAGCGUGCGUAGGCGGGUUUGUAAGUUAGAGGUGAAAGCCCGGAGCUCAACUCCGGAAUUGCCUUUAAGACUGCAUCGCUAGAAUCAUGGAGAGGUGAGUGGAAUUCCGAGUGUAGAGGUGAAAUUCGUAGAUAUUCGGAAGAACACCAGUGGCGAAGGCGACUCACUGGACAUGUAUUGACGCUGAGGUGCGAAAGCGUGGGGAGCAAACAGG
rnacentral:rRNA from 1 species